CAUUAAAACAAUUUCAGUGCUUUCAUCAAUAUAUGGCCCCUUUCAACCAAUCAUUUCAAAAUAUUACACAAAAUAUAGGAGCCCUUUCUGUAAAUAACACUGAAAUGAAUUUGGAAAGUGGCAUUGCCUUAAGUAUAGUACAGAGAAACUUUUGCCCAGGGGCCAUAUCAUAUCAUUUGGAUGGCUGUGCAGGUUUCUAAAUAAGAGCCAUCACCACUUAUUUUGUUAAGAGAAAGGCAGCCUAAAUAAAUUCCUUUCUUGUUUCCUUUAACUAGUUACCCUGUGAACUAAGCUAUGUUUCUUUCUCUCCCCAUGAGUCCCAAAGUAGCUUUAUUAAUAGGAAUAUAUGAUGUUUGUGUUCUUAAAAAAAAUCAGGGUGGUCUUAGAUGUCUGUCGUCCAUUCUGGCAUUUCCCUUUAUACAACCCUUUUGAAUUUUCUGUUUAAAAACUGGCAUUCCAACAGCUUUUCUUUGGCCUAAUGCCUGGGUUGCAUAUUGAAGCAGCAAAUUAGGAAUGUUAAGAUGUCCCCCAAAGAAAAACGUUUGUUCUGAAAGUAGAGCUGAUGUGACACAUGGAAUUAGGGCUUCUUAACUUGUCUAAAUGACAGUUAAUGAUCUUUUCUCUUUUUCUUUUCUUUUAUUGUUUUAACAGGGUGGCUGGGAGUGUAGAAUGAAAGAAAUGCCCAGAGGCCGAAAUCGGGUUUGGUUCACCAAACUGUUAAAUGUGUCAAGUGCACUUGACUGAUACUACAUCUUUUGCCUCUUUUUAGGAGCUAAUUUCGUUACUCGAAAAAUUAGCCGGUCAGUAGCUAAGAUUUACCUUGGACAACUGGAAUGUUUCAGUUUGGGAAAUCUGGAUGCCAAACGAGAUUGGGGCCAUGCCAAGGACUAUGUGGAGGCUAUGUGGUUGAUGUUGCAGAAUGACGAGCCGGAGGACUUCGUGAUAGCUACUGGGGAGGUCCAUAGUGUCCGGGAAUUUGUGGAGAAAUCAUUCUUGCACAUUGGAAAAACCAUUGUGUGGGAAGGAAAGAAUGAAAAUGAAGUGGGCAGAUGCAAAGAGACCGGCAAAGUUCACGUGACUGUGGAUCUCAAGUACUACCGGCCAACUGAAGUGAUCUUCAUGCAGAAAAAGUUACUUGUUCCUUAGUACUGCCAGCUGUGUGCUUCUUGACUCAGGGGUAGAAAGGAUGAUCGUGGUGGAAGGUAGGGAUAUGCUGAAUUGGUGAUCGACUUCUGAUUCUGCCUAAACGGACUUUCUGCAGGGCGACUGCACCAAAGCGAAACAGAAGCUGAACUGGAAGCCCCGGGUCGCUUUCGAUGAGCUGGUGAGGGAGAUGGUGCACGCCGACGUGGAGCUCAUGAGGACAAACCCCAAUGCCUGAGCGCGCCUCGGAGCCCGGCCCGCCCUCCGGCUACAAUCCCCGUAGAGUCUCCGGUGCAGACGCGCUGUGGGGAUGGGGAGGGGCGUGCCAAUCUGCGGGUCCCCUGCGGCCCCUGCUGCCGCUGCGCUGUCCCGGCCGCAAGAGCGGGGCCGCCCCGCCGAGGUUUGUAGCAGCCGGGAUGUGACCCUCCAGGGUUUGGGUCGCUUUGCUUUUGUCGAAGCCUCCUCUGAAUGGCUUUGUGAAAUCAAGAUGUUUUAAUCACAUUCACUUUACUUGAAAUUAUGUUGUUACACAACAAAUUGUGGGGCCUUCAAAUUGUUUUUCUCUUUUCAUAUUAAAAAUGGUCUUUCUGUGAACUAGC
rnacentral:sRNA from 1 species